rnacentral:lncRNA from 1 species
GUUGUUUUAUAUUUUAUUUUAUUACUUUAUUUUUUCAUUGUUGCUUUUUAAAACUUAGACAUCUUUUUCCUUAAAAGUGAUAGAAUUAGUCCACCUCCAAUGGCAUCUUACACAGAACCUCAUUAAAUAAUGCAGGGGAAAUUGGAGCUGGUCUGGUGAGUUAUCUGGUCUUCCCUCCGCCUCAUUACGUAUAACCCAUUUCCCACACCAGCGCCUGAGAGGAGCGUAAGGCCUCAGGAAGCCCAUUUAUAACCACUAGCUUCAAGUACUGUAGGCACCUGUUAAAUUGUAACCUGAAGGUAGACUGUGUGAAACCAUCAUCAGGCAUUCAUACCUUAUUUGGAAGGGAUUUAUAUGAUUUCCUGCCCAGUGAGCAAUCAGAUAUCCAAAGGUGAGGAUAUAUCUUGGAAGCAGAAGCAAGUUAGGAAAAGGUUCAGGGCAUUGGACCCAGCCUUUGGGGGCAGUCUUUGUUUGUGAUGGUUUUGAGAAUGACCUUUCCCCAUCUUCCAGAAGCAAGCAGCAUAAGGCUUGGCAGGAAGGUACGAGUCCUGGGAAGGAUAUACCUACACCUGGGGUCACGACUUCAAAUGCCUGCAAUGCCAGUUUUAAACUCUUCUGGAUGGAUGCUGGGCUACGUGAUCCCACUCAGCUGGAGAGCCUCUGGGAUGAAUGGGCCAAUUCCAGAGCCACUGCCGAUAAUCUGCAAGGCAGAAAAUCCAAUUAUGGGUAAUUAG